CUCAGCUCUGAAGUCCAACCCCUCCCAUCUGAGAGAGCUGGACCUGAUGUACAACAAGCUGAAGGAUUCAGAUGUGAAGCAGCUGUCUGAUCUUGUGGAGAGUCCACACUGUAGACUGCAGACUCUGAGAUGGAAGUGAUCUCAGUCAGACUCUGAGCAGUGAGGAAGGAGGUUGUGUUGGAGGAUCAGCUGUGUCCUGAUGAUCCAGAGAGGUUGAAGCAGCAGCAUCAGCUCUGACUGGGCCAUGUUACUGGGAGGUAGAGUGGAGAGGAGAGCUUCAUCCAGCAGUGACUGACAGAGGAAUCACAACCAGUGGAGACGACUCUCAGUGCUGCAGUCUGAACUGCUCUGAGAUCAGCUCCACUGUCAGACACAAUGUCAAGUCCACUUUCAUCCCUGUGUGUUCCUCUGGAUGUGACAGAGUAUCAUCAGUGUAUCUGGAGCGCUCUGCUGCUGCUCCGUCCUUCUACAAUCUCUGCAGACACACUGAGACUGCUCCACCUGGACCCGAGUCUGGAUUAAGUAAUAUAUAUAAAUUGUAAUGGAUAGAAUUACCUUUUCUGUGAGACUAGAGAAAACUAAAUUUGAGGAAAUUUGGGAAAAAUGGAAAAUGUGAAUUCCUCCUAAACAGUCUUCUUGUAAUUUUAUUAUUUUAUUUUCUUCUUAAUAUGUUUUCAUGCCAUUUUGAAACAUCCCAUGUUCUGUUCAUAUUUGUAUAUUCAAAAAAAUUGUAAAGAUGAAUCAUUGUAUAAUUCAUACUUUGCACGUGACGUCACAACUACUAGCUGGCGGGCAAGAACAUCGUUCUCCCACGAAACCCAGUAAACUAAUCAAGGAUCUUGCCAGGACGUCACCAGUUUUACUAUACAAAAGUAUAUAUAUAUCAUAUGUACUUGAUUUGAUAUGAUAUGAUGAGAAGAAGAACAAUGUUACAGCACACACGUUACUGUUGUACUGCGUCUACUCACUUAGUUACAGUUACUUUGCAUACAUACUAUGGUACAGUUAUUACUACUACAUUAACGUUACAACCUAAAAGAUUGCUAACAGGAUUAAAGGCAUUUCACUGCCCCAGCUGCUCUUGUCUGUUGUCUGAUGCUAUGUGGAGUGGAUGAGCAGGUGGGCUACAAUGUUUGACAUCCUGCUAGCCAUAUAUGAUACAGCCUAGUUGGCAUAAGGUUUUUUGUAGGCUUUCAUUUUUUGUGCGGUGUAAGGUGACGGAUAUAUGUAAAUAUAUAUGUUUCUUGCCCGCCAGGUAACCAUGGUAAUCACGUGACUGCAAAGUAUGAAUUCUAUCAAACAACGUUGAAUGUGUAAAGUGCUGAUAUGUGAUUCCAAAUAAGAGAAAAUGGAAAAAAGCCCAGUAGCUCCUGACCAGCACAAAACAUUUCAGGUAGAAAAUAAAGUGAAUAUAAAGAGGAAGAAGCUCACAGCAGCUAACGAUUGCUCUAAAAAUAUAUAGAACUUGUAAUUAGUUUAUUCUUUUAAAUAAAAUGUCAGGUACCCCCUGCAGUAUUAUAUAAGAGCCGUAA